UAGUCAUAUGCUUGUCUCAAAGACUAAGCCAUGCAUGUCUAAGUAUAAACACCUUUAUACUGUUGAAACUGCGAACGGCUCAUUAUAUCAGUUAUAAUCUACUUGAUCGUAUACUCUUACUUGGAUAACCGUAGUAAUUCUAGAGCUAAUACAUGCAAAAAAUCCCGACGCAAGAAGGGAUGUAUUUAUUAGGUACAAAAUCAAUGCUGGCCUUUGGUCAGAUUAUUGAUGAUUCAUAAUAACUAAACGAAGCGCAGGGCUCGUCCCGGCGCUGAUA
rnacentral:rRNA from 1 species